rnacentral:rRNA from 1 species
AUUGAACGCUGGCGGCAUGCCUUACACAUGCAAGUCGAACGGCAGCACGGGUGCUUGCACCUGGUGGCGAGUGGCGAACGGGUGAGUAAUACAUCGGAACGUACCUUAUCGUGGGGGAUAACGCAGCGAAAGCUGUGCUAAUACCGCAUACGCCCUGAGGGGGGAAAGCGGGGGAUCGCAAGACCUCGCGCGAUUAGAGCGGCCGAUGCCUGAUUAGCUAGUUGGUGGGGUAAAAGCCCACCAAGGCGACGAUCAGUAGCUGGUCUGAGAGGACAAUCAGCCACACUGGGAAUAAGACACGGCCCAGACUCCUACGGGAGGCAGCAGUGGGGAAUUUUGGACAAUGGGGGCAACCCUGAUCCAGCAAUGCCGCGUGAGUGAAGGAGGCCUUCGGGUUGUAAAGCUCUUUUGUCAGGGAAGAAACACCGGCUCUAACACAGUCCGGGAAUGACGGUACCUGAAGAAUAAGCACCGGCUAACUACGUGCCAGCCGCCGCUGUAA